UUGGGACAGAGACCUAUGGCCUGCAAAGCUGAACUAUUUACCAUCUGGCUCUCAAGAAAAGGGAAAAAAAAAUGCUUAUCUUUGUACCGCGACAGUCUUAGAUUAAGAGGACUUUGUACCACCCUGACGUCCCAGGCGGCCGUGAGUCCAGCCACCCCUGAAAUGUACACAAGUCUGGGCUAGGGUUGCAGCAGAUAACCUUCACUCUUCUCUGCAAUGAAUCCCAAAAGUAUGUAGUUGAGCUGACUGCAAGGUGCUUGAGAUGCAAGAGACUCCACAAAUGGGAUUCGGCCUCUGGAAAGUGGUGGUAGUUCCAGAUUUAUGUGGAUGUUACUUUGUUUUUCCCUAUAAAAUAUAUUCUUUAAACUAUCAA
rnacentral:lncRNA from 1 species